rnacentral:lncRNA from 1 species
CUUCUUCAAAAAUAUAGCUCACAGUCAUUUAUUCUAUUUGUUUUCCUUUGUAUAUAAUGCUUGCUCCUGUAACAGACGGUUUUCUUCCAGCAGCACAUUAAGAAACAAAAUUAACACAUCGUGGUAACUACCUGGUUUGUUCCAGGUGAUUCAAUGCUUUGUACCUCAGGCAUUUGCAUUACAGCUUAAUCCAUUACAGACUCUGAAACAGCAACCUGUCAGUGUGCGACAGCAGCACCCUCAGCACAACAUACCAUGUCUGGCUGCAUCGAGAAUGGGACUGACCACGCUGUCAGAGCCAUUGCUUCCAACCCUCAUUUGGAUCUGAGUAGCGAUGAGAAAGAAGCCUCUUCCCCCCCCCCAGUUGUGCAAUCUUCACUUGAGAAUUCCUCAACUCCACUUUGCUUCUUUGGAGUCAAUGGUGUCUUGAAACUCUGAAGGAACCAUUGAAAGACCUGCAGAAAUCAAACUAGAAAGACCAACUUGACACACUGGGAUUCACGAAGCAAACUUUAUCAGUCUUCCAGCUCUCAGACAGUGCUUGAAGCUAUGUGCCAGGAUGCUUUAUAGCACCAGAUGAGAGCAUGCAUAUGACCUAAACAGCAAACAGGCCUAGUGGCUGUAUUGAAAAACAGCUUAAUCCAUUGCUCAUGUCGAUGUUAAGACAUUGCAUUUAGGCAGAAAAAAAGAAGAAAGAGAUAAGGAAGGCAAUGUACAGACUUAAUAAGGAGCAGAUGUCAUUUUCUCUCUAGUAGAAGUCCAGCAUCAGGAAGAUGUUUGAAAAAUUGUUAAAUCAACUGCUGUGGCAGCCGAACAUCCUUGAGGUUAGCCAAUGUGAUCUAAGCCUUCACAAUGUGAUUCAAAGAUCCCACAAAGCAACCUGGAUUGGAAAUUGCAGCCAGGGUGAAAACUUAGCUUCUAGGUCUCUAAGUGCCGGGUAGAGAUUGUUCUUUACAAUUGCUUCCUGCAGAGGAGGAGUUGGAAAUACGGGGAUUGGGAAAGGAAGCGCUGUCAAUCAAAUUUUACAAUUUAUUUUUUCAAAGGUUUAUUUCCACCCCAAAGCAAUUCAAUUCACUUGAGUGGGAAAAGUAGCUGAAAACCUUUAGAAAUGUCAAAGACCACUUCUGUACAAGAAAAGCAGGGAACAUGCCUCGUGUACACCAUUAGGCUGGUAGUCAAGAUAGCACCACUAUGAAGUGGUUGAUGGCAAGGAUGUUACUUUUUUUUCUUCCCCUUUUAUGUUGUUGUGGGUUUUUUGUUUGCUUUUUGUUUUGUUUUGUUUUUUUCGUCCUGUAGCAGUAGUGUUCCAAAAGAGCCAUUAGUGAAAAAUACAGGUGGAGUAAAAAACUCAGUAUUGAUUAAUUGAAAAAUAAAACUAUUAGUUUUAGAGGCA